rnacentral:rRNA from 1 species
CCUACGGGUGGCAGCAGUCGGGAAUAUUGCGCAAUGGAGGCAACUCUGACGCAGUGACGCCGCGUGCAGGAAGAAGGUUUUCGGAUUGUAAACUGCUUUAGACAGGGAAGAAAAAAGACAGUACCGUACGAAUAAGCAUCGGCUAACUCCGCGGCAGCAGCCGCGGUAAAACGGGGGAUGCAAGCGUUAUACGGACUUAUUGGGUUUAAAGGGUGCGUAGGCUGUGAGGUAAGUCAGCGGUGAAAUGCCCCCGCUCAACGGGGUGAAGUGCCAUUGAUACUGCCUUGCUGGAAUGCGGAUGCCGUGGGAAGAAUGUGUGGUGUAGCGGUGAAAUGCAUAGAUAUCACACAGAACACCGGUUGCGAAGGCAUCUCACGGAACCGCGAUUGACGCUGAUGCACGAAAGCGUGGGUAUCAAACAGGAUUAGAUACCCUGGUAGUC